rnacentral:rRNA from 1 species
UAAUACAUCGGAACGUGCCCUGUAGUGGGGGAUAACUAGUCGAAAGAUUAGCUAAUACCGCAUACGACCUGAGGGUGAAAUGGGGGACCGCAAGGCCUCAUGCUAUAGGAGCGGCCGAUGUCUGAUUAGCUAGUUGGUGAGGUAAAGGCUCACCAAGGCGACGAUCAGUAGCUGGUCUGAGAGGACGAUCAGCCACACUGGGACUGAGACACGGCCCAG